GUGGGGAAUCUUCCGCAAUGGACGAAAGUCUGACGGAGCGACGCCGCGUGAGUGAAGAAGGCCUUCGGGUCGUAAAGCUCUGUCAUCAGGGACGAACGGCCGGUGGAGUGGAAAGCCACCGGAUUGACGGUACCUGAGAAGGAAGCCACGGCUAACUACGUGCCAGCAGCCGCGGUAAUACGUAGGUGGCAAGCGUUGUCCGGAAUUAUUGGGCGUAAAGCGCGCGCAGGUGGGAUCUUAAGUCCAUUUUUAAAGUUCGGAGCUCAACUCCGUGAUGGGAUGGAAACUGGGAUUCUUGAGUACCGGAGAGGAAAGCGGAAUUCCCCGUGUAGCGGUGAAAUGCGUAGAUAUGGGGAGGAACACCAGUGGCGAAGGCGGCUUUCUGGACGGUGUCUGACACUGAGGCGCGAAAGCCAGGGGAGCGAACGGGAUUAGAUACCUCAGUAGUCC
rnacentral:rRNA from 1 species